rnacentral:rRNA from 1 species
UACGAAGGGGGGCUAGCGUUGCUCGGAAUUACUGGGCGUAAAGCGCACGUAGGCGGCUUUCUAAGUCGGGGGUGAAAUCCUGGAGCUCAACUCCAGAACUGCCUUCGAUACUGGAAAGCUCGAGUCCGGGAGAGGUGAGUGGAACUGCGAGUGUAGAGGUGAAAUUCGUAGAUAUUCGCAAGAACACCAGUGGCGAAGGCGGCUCACUGGCCCGGUACUGACGCUGAGGUGCGAAAGCAUGGGGAGCAAACAGGG